GAUUAACGCUAGCGGCAGGCCUAAUACAUGCAAGUCGAACGGCAGCACGGGUAGCAAUACCUGGUGGCGAGUGGCGCACGGGUGCGUAACGCGUAUGCAAUCUACCUAUAACUGGGGAAUAGCCUUCCGAAAGGAAGAUUAAAACCGCAUAAUAUCACGAAGCGGCAUCGUUUGUGAUCAAAUCUCCGGAGGUUAUAGAUGAGCAUGCGUGACGUUAGCUAGUUGGUGAGGUAACGGCUCACCAAGGCUACGAUGUCUAGGGGGUCGU
rnacentral:rRNA from 1 species